CGAUUUUUCCAUUCUGUUCCAUUCUAUUGUUACAGAUCUUGGUAUGUUUUUUACCAUCAUUAAUUUAUGCUUAUAUUAUUAAUUGUUAUUUUUUAGUAUAUGCUUCAAACAUUGUUGUUAGUAUUCAAGCAAGUUUUCUUUACUGGAAUUGUUGAAGGUACAAUAAAAAAAGCCCUUACAAAUCUCUAAUUUCUUCAUCAACAACGUCAUCCCUUCACAUACAAGGACGAGAUUUUGUGUUAUUUAGAAAAUUCUGUGAGAGUUAAUAACUUAGCAUGCCCAUAUUAUUUGGUUUUUAUGUUGUUGUUAUCUAUUUUUACUAAAUUUUAUCAGUGGAU
rnacentral:lncRNA from 1 species